CGCCGGAGGCAGCCUGCCUGCCGUGCUUGGGGCAGCAAAAUCACUAGAGCCGCCCAUGCAGAGCAGGUACUGGCUAUGGGGUUACCGCCAGCUGGGAAUAUGGCUCAGCUGGAGCCAUAUCCUGUUUGCCAAGGUCCACUUGGGGAGUUCUCCACUGCUAGAAAAUUGACCUGGAAAUGUCCAGUCAAAAAGACCGCUCUUGAUGCCCUGCGAAGGACCUGCUCAGGUGGUCUGCCGGAGUCUUUUUAGCUCCCAGAAAGUAACCAGCUUUCAGGUUGAUAGAACUGGCGAUUCAGAAUUUCCACAGGAGCAUCGCCUCCUGGGAUAACUUUGUGGAACUGGCCCCUCCCUGGUUGUUUACAUAAAAUAUAGCUGUUGUGUUGUCUGCGAGCACAAAUAAGUUCCACCUCCUGUUGUGCAGAAGGAACGCCAUGGAAGUCAGACAAAUGGCCUGGAGCUUCCUAAUAUUUAUAUGGAUACUCAGAUCCUGGGGAUAUCAAAGGACGUGAGUCUGAAGGUGACCUAAGUGAGCUCCCCAUCCUACAUCUGAUGCAUCUGUAACUAGAGUAACAGCCUGUUGUGGAGGGGCAAAGGGAACUCCUUGCAAACACUGUCGGUAUUACUCCUGGGGGAAUUCUGCCCCACUACACAGUGCAGAAUUUUGCAGAAAUUAAUGGUGUGUGCACUGCACACAAAAUUUCCUUCACCCCACACAGAAAUGGGCUGCAGAGAUGUUGGCUGCCACUAUGGGCCACUGGACCCAGCAGAGUUCAGUUCGUGAACAAAAGACAAAGUGGGGAAGAGGAGGAGGGAGCUGGAGGAUUCCUAGCAGUUGCAGUUCCCAGCCUGCCCUGAAGGAAGGAAGCGGUGGCAUGCAGGAAAUUCCAUGCAAGUUUGGGACCCAGCAUCAGGCUGUUUCUCCCUCUGGAUCCCUGGGCUCUAAGAGGGUAGGGUCUGUGAGUGACAGGGGGUGGGGUGGGGGAUAAAGGGGGUGUGAGUGUCUGGCUCCCUGGCUGGGCUCUGGGGGGAGGAAGUAGAGAAGCAGGAUUCCUGGGUUGUCAUAGGGGCUUCUUUAAUUCUCUAUUCCGGGGGGAAUUUUUGUGUGUGUCUGUAUUGUUACAGACAUACUUACUGACAGGUAUUUUGAAAUAAACUACCAAAUAAUUGAAACUGGCAUAAUUAUAUAGGAUUAUUUUGACAAAUAAAAUUUGCAGAAUUUUAAAA